rnacentral:rRNA from 1 species
UACGUAGGGUGCGAGCGUUGUCCGGAAUUAUUGGGCGUAAAGGGCUCGUAGGCGGUUUGUCGCGUCGGGAGUGAAAAUCCAGGGCUUAAACUCUGGACUGGCUUCCGAUACGGGCAGACUAGAGGUAUGCAGGGGAGAACGGAAUUCCUGGUGUAGCGGUGAAAUGCGCAGAUAUCAGGAAGAACACCCGUGGCUAAGGCGGCUCUCUAGUACGGUACUGACGCUGAGACGCGAAAGCGUGGGGAGCGAACAGG